CUUCGCUGAUGAUACGAUGACGAGUCAGAAGGGACGUCCUCGUGCCAGUGCAGCCUGGCCAGUGCCAUGUUCUGUGGUGCUGUGCUAAGGCUGCCCUGGGCGGGAUGUCCUUACACAUUGGAUGAUUCAGAGGCAUUUGUCUGAGAAGG
rfam:Colinus virginianus strain Texas jcf7180006215994, whole genome shotgun sequence.